rnacentral:SRP_RNA from 2 species
GCCAGGCAUGGUGGUGCACGCCUGUAAUCCCAGCUACUCAGGAGGCUGAGGCAGGAGAAUCGCUUGAACCCAGGAGGCGGAGGUUGUAGUGAGCCGAGAUUGUGCCACUGCUCUCCAGCCUGGGUGACAGAGUGAGACUCUGUCUCAA